rnacentral:misc_RNA from 1 species
UUUAGCUUUUCAUUUAGGAACUUUCACGAACAUAACAAAUGCAUGCGAAGACACCCAGAAGUUUAUCAUAGCCUCACACCAUCAUCGACCACAAGUUUAUCAUAUCCGAGUGAUCUUCGUAAGUAAACUUUGAUUAUUUAGAUAAACCUCAGUUGUUAAGAAUCUUUCAAUGCGUCUAUUAACCAAGUCCCUGUUGGCGCCUAUACUUUUCAUGUCAUGACACAUGACAUUACACCUGAAUAGAGAAGUAUAUAUGCACUGCUCAAGCAAGCAAAGGAAGACCCUUGACCCAUCAUUAUUGUGACUCUCUUGAAGCAGCAGCUUGCGCCCUGAACCAGAAGCAAUAGAGAGAACAAAGCAAGACGUGUGGCAUCAAUCUUUUCCAGAAGGUUCAGCAUCAAUUCAUAGAGAGUCUCUGCAUAGUGGUAUUCAAG